CCCUCUCAGGCAGUUCCCAGGGAAUGUGAGUCACUGCAGAGAAAUCCCGGCAGCAGAAAGAAAGUUUGGGUUUCAGAGAGUCUCCCCGUAGCGCUGCAGGCACCUCUUUCUCUCCGGGGCAGGAGCCAAGGUGCUGCCAACAGGGCGUAGUGCCUGGCAAACAGACCUCUAUGAUGGAAGUGACAACGUGACAAAGUAGAGGGUGCUGACCUUGGUUCAAAUCCUGCUUCGUACAUUAACAGCAGAGAUUAUGUCUCAGAAACCUGGGCCAUGAAAGAAAUACGGAAGAGACUUUUCCAUCCUACUCUAGCUUACCUGCGG